rnacentral:rRNA from 1 species
UAGGGUAUCUUCGGCAAUGGGGGCAACCCUGACCGAGCAACGCCGCGUGAGUGAAGAAGGUUUUCGGAUCGUAAAGCUCUGUUGUAAGAGAAGAACGUGUGUGAGAGUGGAAAGUUCACACAGUGACGGUAACUUACCAGAAAGGGACGGCUAACUACGUGCCAGCAGCCGCGGUAAUACGUAGGUCCCGAGCGUUGUCCGGAUUUAUUGGGCGUAAAGCGAGCGCAGGCGGUUUAAUAAGUCUGAAGUUAAAGGCAGUGGCUUAACCAUUGUUCGCUUUGGAAACUGUUAAACUUGAGUGCAGAAGGGGAGAGUGGAAUUCCAUGUGUAGCGGUGAAAUGCGUAGAUAUAUGGAGGAACACCGGUGGCGAAAGCGGCUCUCUGGUCUGUAACUGACGCUGAGGCUCGAAAGCGUGGGGAGCAAACAGG